UCAGCUACAGCCAGGUUGAUGAUGUAAUAGUGGGUGACACUCUGGAGGUGUCUGUGGCAGGCUACGGACAGGAUAACCAGGAUAUUACCCAAAACCCCAAAAACAAUCAGCCCCCCUAGAAUAACACCCAGUAAGAUGGCCUUGGACAUGUUCACGGGCUCCACAGAGUGGGUGCAGUUGGAACACUCGGAGGAGUUUCCAGAGAGGAAAGCCAUGGCUGAUGGAACAAGUUGAGGAAUAAUCCCAAGGAAGAAAAGGACAUAUUAUCUAAGCACAUACAUGAAAAUUGAGUGUUGCAUCGA